UACGUAGGGUGCGAGCGUUAAUCGGAAUUACUGGGCGUAAAGCGUGCGCAGGCGGUUGGUUAAGUCUGAUGUGAAAGCCCCGGGCUCAACCUGGGAAUGGCAUUGGAAACUGGCUGGCUAGAGUGCGGCAGAGGGGGGUGGAAUUCCGCGUGUAGCAGUGAAAUGCGUAGAGAUGCGGAGGAACACCGAUGGCGAAGGCGGCUCACUGGUCCAUUACUGACGCUGAGGUGCGAAAGCGUGGGGAGCAAACAGG
rnacentral:rRNA from 1 species